CCAGGACCCAGCACAUAGUAGGUGCUCAGUAAAUAAUAAAUGUUUGUUAAAUGAGCAACAGAAGUAAGAGAUCUGAUUUUCUUUCACUAAAGAAGCACCCUGAGCGCUGAACAGGGCUGGGACUGCGAAAAGGGAAGAAGUGCUGGCCCACAUGGGAGGAAGUGGUACAGAGGGAGAGCCUAAAACACCAGACCAGAUGAGAAAUGGCAGCUCCACCUUGCUCUGGACUGGGCUGCUGUAAACCUUGGGUCAGACUCCACCCCGCCUUCAAGCCCAAGUGCCCCAUUGCAGAUUCCCUUGGAGCUGACCUUCCAUCCCAUCCUGCAUACUCUACCAGAAUCCCCUGGAAUUCACAGCCUUGUGCUUGAGGCUCCUGAGGACCAGCCUGCCCUCUCUGAACAAGAUGUAGAACUCUCAGCUCCUCCUGCACCAUGCCUGCCUGGAUCCUGCCAUGUUCCCAUCUUGAUGAUAAUGAACUGAACCUCUGAACCUGUAAGCCAGUGCCAAUUAAAUGUUGUCCUUAUAAGA